UACGUAGGGUGCAAGCGUUGUCCGGAAUUAUUGGGCGUAAAGAGCUCGUAGGCGGUUUGUCGCGUCUGCUGUGAAAACCCAGGGCUUAACCCUGGGCUGGCUUUCGAUACGGGCAGACUAGAGGUAUGCAGGGGAGAACGGAAUUCCUGGUGUAGCGGUGAAAUGCGCAGAUAUCAGGAGGAACACCGGUGGCGAAGGCGGUUCUCUGGGCAUUACCUGACGCUGAGGAGCGAAAGUGUGGGGAGCGAACAGG
rnacentral:rRNA from 1 species